rnacentral:rRNA from 1 species
UACGGAGGGUGCAAACGUUGCUCGGAAUUAUUGGGCGUAAAGCGCACGUAGGCGGUUCGUUAAGUUGGAUGUGAAAGCCCUGGGCUCAACCCAGGAAGUGCAUACAAAACUGGCGAGCUUGAGUACAGAAGAGGGUCUCGGAAUUCCCGGUGUAGAGGUGAAAUUCGUAGAUAUCGGGAGGAACACCAGUGGCGAAGGCGGAGACCUGGGCUGAUACUGACGCUGAGGUGCGAAAGCGUGGGGAGCAAACAGG